rnacentral:rRNA from 1 species
GACGAACGCUGGCGGCGUGCUUAACACAUGCAAGUCGAACGGAAAGGCCCUGCUUUUGUGGGGUGCUCGAGUGGCGAACGGGUGAGUAACACGUGAGUAACCUGCCCUUGACUUUGGGAUAACUUCAGGAAACUGGGGCUAAUACCGGAUAGGAGCUCCUGCUGCAUGGUGGGGGUUGGAAAUUUUCGGCGGUUGGGGAUGGACUCGCGGCUUAUCAGCUUGUUGGUGGGGUAGUGGCUUACCAAGGCUUUGACGGGUAGCCGGCCUGAGAGGGUGACCGGCCCCAUUGGACCUAGGGACCGGCCAGGACUCAUACGGGGGGAAGCGGUGGGAAAAUUUGCCAAAUGGGCGAAGCCUGAUGCAGCAACGCCGCGUGCGGGAUGACGGCCUUCGGGUUGUAAACCGCUUUCGCCUGUGACGAAGCGUGAGUGACGGUAAUGGGUAAAGAAGCACCGGCUAACUACGUG